UGGGGAACAUUGCACAAUGGAGGGAACUCUGAUGCAGCGACGCCGCGUGAACGAAGAAGGCUUUCGAGUCGUAAAGUUCUUUUAUAUGGGAAGAUAAUGACGGUACCAUAAGAAAAAGCCCCGGCUAACUACGUGCCAGCAGCCGCGGUAAUACGUAGGGGGCUAGCGUUGUCCGGAAUCACUGGGCGUAAAGGGUUCGCAGGCGGAAAUGCAAGUCAGGUGUAAAAGGCAGUAGCUUAACUACUGUAAGCAUUUGAAACUGCAUAUCUUGAGAAGAGUAGAGGUAAGUGGAAUUUUUAGUGUAGCGGUGAAAUGCGUAGAUAUUAAAAAGAAUACCGGUGGCGAAGGCGACUUACUGGGCUCAUUCUGACGCUGAGGAACGAAAGCGUGGGUAGCAAACAGG
rnacentral:rRNA from 1 species